GAAUCACCACUUCUUCCACGGCCAGCCAGCCACUGGAUCUCCUUUUGGAUGUCAAAUACGGGAGAAAAGCAGAGGUAACUUCAGGCCCUGAACUCUGGAAAUGGAUUAUCCAAUGGUACCCACCUUCCCUUGCAGUCCAGGAAUAAAUGUGUGACUCUGGCUUGACAGGAGCUCUGACUGGGAUCUUUGCUGCAGUGAUCCUGCAAGUGUGGAUUACUUGAAGUCUGAUAAAGUGAGCUUUCGUGUUGGAAGUGGUGUCUUGGAUCAGCCAGAGCAUGCAGAGAGUUUCUCUCUGCUGCCAGUUUAUGAGAAACUUGUCGAGAAUUAUCUUUGCACUUUCUACCUUUCUUCACAGUUGAGGUGAGCCACAGGAUUCAAAUGUGUAUAUACACACUUGUACACAGUGGAACUGCUCAAGCCUUGCUUCCAGAGGGAAUCGGGCUAGAAUGAUAUGAUGACUCUGGGGCUGCAAGGAUUUACAGUUCUGAGAUAUUGCAAGCUGACAGGUUCAACAGCAGGGUCUGUCUCCAAUUUGAUUUUAGAAG